UUAAACUAGUGAGAUCAUCAGGAAUCAGACAAAUAUAGUGAACUCUACAGAGAAGGUUUGAGAGAGAAAUGAAGGAAACCUUUCGAUUCAGGAAAAUAUCUCAUCUUCGAAGGAUCGAUGGUCCUUCUUUAUACAUCAGUGGGCCGAAAAAUGGGCCUACCAACUAAUUAUUGGGCUAAAGUAUCUAAAGAAAUAAAAAUACAGAGUGUUUAUGUGGGAUAUACAGCAUCAGUAACAGCAGUAACUCCAACACCCCCCCCCCAAAGUUGGAGGGGGCACAAACACCCAACUUGAACAAGAGUGGAUGAUGAACCAGCCCAGUAAGCGGCUUGGUAAAUAUGUCGGCAAGUUGAGAACCUGUACGAACAUGCAAAAGAUCAAUAAGUCCAUCGGUCAACUUAUGGCGAGUGAAAUGGCAAUCCACCUCAAUAUGCUUGGUCCGCUCAUGAAAAACAGGGUUACGAGCAAUGUGAAUGGCAGCCUGAUUGUCACAAAAUAUCGGAACAGGAGUGGGAAUAGAAAUACCCAAAUCAACCAACAAACGGACCAACCAAACUAACUCAGCAACAACCUUACUAAUGGGCCGGUAUUCAGCCUCCGCAGAAGAAAGGGAGACAACAUGUUGUUUCUUAGCCUUCUAAGUAAAAAGAGAACCACCUAACAGAACACAAAAUACAAUGACAGAUCUACGAGUGUCGGGACAAGCUGCCCAGUCACUGUCACAGAAAGCACUGAGAGAAAAAUCAGGUGAUUUAGAAAAAAAUAUACCCGUAGUAGAGGUGCCUUUUAUAGACACGUAAUUUUAUUCCGUCAAAAAUAUUUUUUAUUCCGAUAUCACACAAUUUAACCCCAUUUUAUAAUUUUUUUUCCCAAGAAAAUAAAUAACCACCUCAUCUUUUACUUAUUUAUGUAUUUAUUUUUUUUGUUUUUGUUUUUAUCCAAAUAACAAGUCAUAACAAACUUUGUCCCAUUCUAAUAUUCCAACAACUCAUCCAAUCAAAAAUAGACACCUACACCCCUCACCCCACCUACCCACGUGAUCAUACCCCCUCCCCUUGUAUUUUUCUACACGGUUUGGCUUGGAGAGAAAGAAAAAAGGAGCACAACAGGUGGGGACCACUAGGAUUUUGUUGUGGGCUAACAAUAGAUAUAUAUAUACAUACACUAGGCAAAAGGAAUUGGAGAAGGGAAAAAGGGGGAAAUAACCAUUUGGUCAUCAUCUUUAUCUCUUUUUCUUGAUUGAAGAAGGAGACAGAGGACUCCAUUUUUUUUUUUGUUCAUGAACACACAAGACACACACGUACACACAUAGAAUAGAGAGAGAAAGAGUGACGAAGAGAUCGAGAGGGAGAAGAUCGAGAGGGAGAACGGAGGGUUCAAGCUUUUUCGGUGAACCCAUUGCUGGAACUACUUGUUUUAGUCGAUUCCAGGUAUUGUAGAUUAAAAAAAUCCACCGAAGUGUUGAAAUUCCUCAAAAUCUUCUUCGUUUUCCAUUGGUUUUUAGUUGAAUCUGGCCUGAAAACAUUCAAAAUGCGCCAGCGUCCAUCAUGAAUCACUGUUUUGGCCAUCACCGGAGCUCGGUCUACGUUGGGUUUUGGGUUCCUGGUGGUUUGUUGGGGUCUUGGGUUCGUCUAUUUCUUGGUUCGUCAUCGAUAUUGGAUUUUGAGUUGCCGUUAUCAAAUUGCGUCGUCAUUCCUGGUUGGGUUUCGUAUAACAAAGUUUGUCUUACUGAUUUUGAAGUUGUCCUAUUAGUUUUUCUCUAUACCGAGUUGGAUUCAUUGUAAUCGAGGUUCUCUAUUCGAGAUUCCAAGUGUGGGUCUUCUUUAAUAUUAUUACCAACCAAAAUCGAUUAUCAGAAGGUCCAUUUCUUUAACUUAUAUUCUCCUUUAUCGUAAUUUGUUGAAUUGAGAAUGUUUGAAAUUGGAUGAUUUGUUGAAUGUUUGAUGUUAUUCAUGUGAAAUUCAUAUGAUUCUCAUAAUUUAAUUGCCAUUAUGUCUAUAUUGUUGAUAUUGGAUUCCGAGUUAAAAAUUGAGUUGAUCAUUGAGGCAUGUGUUAAUUUUGAUUGAAAAGAGAAUUUGGGGCGGGAAGGGAGAAAUUGAUAAAAGUUGAAUGUAGAUUAAUUUUUUAUUUGUUGUCUUUUUGUUUAAUUCGGUAUAAGUAUUGACUGUGAUAGAUUUAUGCCCUAUUGAAACAGAUAGACAAUAUAGGUUUGGGUAGGCAAAUUGUAGAACCCAUUGUGUUGGUUGAAUGUGGAAUGUGUGGAUAAAUGCUUCUUUCUAGUUUAUCGUAUUUAAUUCAAAAUGUAUUCAUUUGACCGGGGAAUGCCCCGAAGUAUUUGUAUAUAUAUUUAUUCACCGGGGAAUGGCCCGACGUACUAUGUUGGCGAAGGCGGAUCGAGAACAAGUCCCGACGCGUCGCGUAGCGUAUGAGCGUAGUUAGGAUUAGUAUAAGUUAGAGUAGACUUACGUUUCCGCACUUUUCAUUUUUCGGGACUGUAUAAUUGGACUGAAUACUAAAUUUUGGACUAUUUUGUUUUUUGAUUGUUUGUUCUAUGUGUUUUUUUGUGUUGUUUAUACGCUCGUUGAUGUCAAAUUAGCCGAUACUCUCUGCCAAGCGACCAUGGUCAAACCACAGGAUCGAGGGGUGUCUAAUACCUUCCCCUCGGUCAACAGAAUUCCUUAGCCAAAAUCUCUAUUCGCAAACCAAUUUUAAAAGAGUCAAAAACAGUUUUGAAAAGGGUUUUCCAAAGGUGACUUGACACACCGGAUCAUGCCAGGUGACGACUCUGAAUAAAAAAUGUAAAUAGUCCUUUUUUGAAACAAAUUUUAUAAUUUUUGUCACUUUAAUAAUAAAACCCUUUCGUUGGAGUGGUAAAAAAGAGGUGUGACAGCUCUGGCGACUCUGCUGGGACAACAAUUUCAAAAUUCGACCUUUUUGGAGUCGUAUCGACUUUGUUUGGCAUUACGAGUGUAUAAGCAUUGUUUGUGAUUUUUGUUGGUGUUAUUGUUAUCACUUUUGUGCGUUUACGUGCUCUUUUAUUUAUAUUUUUUCUUUAUAUAUUAUCGCUUUAUUCCUCGCAACAUGUGCAUAACCCAAGUCAUUCUUUCCACAACAAGUCUCGGAGCGCACGUUGUACGCACGAACUCUAGUAGAGUCACCUUUAUUUUAAGGGGGAGCCGUUGGAUGUAUGGAGUAGGUGGAAAGCUAAGCAACCACUAUCGACCAUAUGCUCCCCCAAACGGCCUUGUUAGUGAACCCCAGCGUAGGUCAGUCUUUAGGUCAUGCUUAUCUGAGUCAUAUUGAGACCUAGCGGAACCCACUUGGUCCUUUGUAGGUGACUCCCCCUAAAGCAUCCUAACAUGCUAAAUGUUGCAUCUUUGAGGGUAACGUGGUCAUUUAACUGACUGAUUUGGGGAAAACGUGCGUUAGAAGUAAAGCGUGUAGACAAAAAGUAUUGAAAAAAAAGAGAGAAAAAGAAAGGUGAAAAAAAAAGUGUUUCGUAGUUUUUUUAAAAGUUCUUUAUGGUUUUCGUUUUUCACAAUAUAAAAAUCCAAAAAAAUAUUUUUUUAUCUUUCGCACUCAUUUCCCGAAAAAUUAAAAGCAUCAAAAAUAUUUUUCUUUGUCAAGCAUGCACAAUUUGAAAAUUUCAAAAAAAGAUCUUUCCUUUAAUAGGAGUUUUUUUUUUAGGAAAAUUCAAAAAAAAAGUGAUGGUAGAAGUUUUGUACAUUUCAUAUAGCGAAAAUACUAAAAAGAUUUUUCCUUCCUAAUUGUUUGUGUCAAUUUUAUUUAAAGUGUCUAAUUAAAAAUUCAAAAAUAUUUUAUUCAUCGAUCUUUGGUUGUGUCCUUUAAGUUAGGGUCAGUCUGUUAGUUAAUCUUUAAUUGUCCAAUUUGGACGAACUACGCAUACCUGAUUCCCGUCCUUCGGGAUGGGAUACGUAGGCAACCCUCGGUGGGUCCGAUAAUCUUUAUUUUGGCCUUUGUCUAAGUCUUAGCCUAGGUCAUUCACCCCGUAAUGUUAGCCAAGUAGGCUGAUUUUAUUCAGUUUUACUGUUCGGCAAAUGGGUAUCAUGAAGCGCUCUGUCCCGUCGACGUAUGUCCGCAUCAAAUUUCCAAUGGUUGGGAACCUUUUGCUCUUAUCAAAUUUUUGAGAUAAUGUCUUAUCUGUUAUUACAGGAUGGAUCUGUCCACAAAGUCUAGAGACCUUAUGGUUGUCAAGGAACCCAAAAAGUUGAUCAAGUGGUGGGGCACGUUCAAUUAUUCUGAAAAGCAUGAAGUGAGGAAAGUAUUUGGCAAUCUUGUAACACUCAUGGAUCUCACGCCCCGUCCAAAUCUAAUAGAAGCUGCGUUGACCUUUUGGGAUCCAAACAAUUUGGUGUUUAGGUUUGGAAGUUGUGAAUUGACUCCUACCCUCGCAGAAAUAUCUCGUUUGUUUCAAUUGACUUAUAUUGGUCAGCAGAUGAUUUUAGCCCACAAUCAUACUCGUAAAAGAUUUCUUCGACUCCGUGGAUUGAAAGAUAACAAGCAUCUGGGAUGUCUCAAACAAUCUUGGAUUUCUUUUGACUAUUUGUUUGCUAGAUUUAGGUCCUUAAAGGGUUUCGACUGCUUUUGGGAUGAAUUCUAUACUACCAAAAACAUCUAGGAACAACGUCGUCUUGAGGUUUUCUGUCUGGCUUUGUUGGGCAUCUUAGUUUUCCCGUUAGAUGAGAGAUGUAUCAAUACUCGUCUACAAUCAAUGGUGAUAACUUUGUUCAAGAAAAACGAUGAGGUCACCAUUGUACCAAUGAUUUUAACAGAAAUAUAUAAGACUUUAACUGAAGUAAAAGGAGGGGUACGACAUUUUUAGGGGAGUAAUCUGAUAUUACAGUUGUGGAUGAUAGAGCAUUUGCAUACGCCUUCUUUAAUUAAAGCAGAUAUGAUCGACCGUUGUCUGAAUGAUCGAGUGCAAGCCAUGAAAGAGAGAAUGCGUUUUGAUAAAUUUUCUUUUCCUAUAGGAGUCAAUUCCUGGAUCAAAUUUCUUGAAUCAAGAACUCCAGAAAACAUUCUUUGGUCCUAUAUGUGGUUUCGUCCUAAGAAAAUCUUGAUUGGAUCUCAAAUGCAACUCUUUCUGGUUUUGAUAGGACUUAACUGAACUAGGCCUUACAGUCCAAGAAGGGUGAUGCGUCAGUUGGGUAAGAUGCAAGACGUCCCCCCAAUAAUGGACCUUCUAAAGGAUGUAGAGUACUUUAAAGACCAAGCCAUGGGGGAAAGAAAAUAUAAGCAAUUCUGGAAUAACGUGAUAAAGCUAGGUGUUGAUACUCUCGAGGAAAAUCCAGGGUGCACUCAAAACUAUGAAAUCUGGCUACAAUCUCUACCCCGUGGCACUAGUAGACCCUUACCAGCCCAACUUAGAGGGCAAAUACAGGAAGCAAUCACGGUAGAGGAUGAUGAGCAGGAAGAUCCGGGUGCCAAGGUGGAGUUUUUGAGAGUUCAGCUGUCAUGUUUGAUCAUAACUGUGGAUGGGUGUCAGAAAAACCUUUUCGGGUGUAAUCUCCAAGAGGCGGGGAUACAGGCGAGAAGUUUGUUCCCGGGUAUCAAAGCGUCGUUGCUGGAUAUGUUGCAAAGUCUGAGUGGAAAAGAGGGAACUUCACAGACGGGUUCAUCUCAGCCAGGGACAUCACACAGAGCACCAGUUUGAAAGAGCAUUUCUUAUCUUUAUUCAGUUUGAGUCUUUUAUGUUUCUGUCAUUGUAGGGUGGUGUCUGUGUUAAGUCGGAGUCAAGUUGUUUUUCAUAUUAGGGUCUUUAUUAGUAAUUUCAUGUAUGUCGUCUUAGGGGUCUAGAAUAUUUAUGCAUAUACAUCCCGAACUACGCAAGAUCUGAUUCAUGUACAACAUGAUACGUAGGCAACCUACUUUUGGGUUUGAUCUAGUCAUUUUGUUUCGUCGUUUUUCAUUAUGUUUUCUCUUUUAAAGAAAAUCAAAAGCCAUAAAGAAUGAUAAAACGAAGGUAGAUAGCGAGAGAAGAAAAGAAAGAAAGGAUGAUAAGAUGAGAAAGAGAAAGAACAGAGACUGAUACAAAAAAAAAAGAGGGAAAUGAGGGCGAAAGAAAGGAGGUUUGUUUGGAGGAAAGAAGCAAAUGAGUGUAGAUGAAAAUCGAGAUGAUGUUAAAAAUGACCUCGCUACCCUCAAAGACUGGUAGAAAUGGACAUGAAUCUAGGAUAAUUUUACCAAUGUGAUUCCCAUGCUUGUUGUGUGCCCUAAUCCUAACGGAUGUCGUCUUUGAUGAGUAUGUUCUUUCAGAUAACAGUGGUAGGUUUGCAGCACUCUGGCUAGUCACCCGUACUUUACUAAAUCAAAAGAAAAGCUCGUCAUGGCUAGCAGGGAGAUUGAAAAUUCGCUCAUUGAAGGAUCAGGAUCCCAGGGAAGAAAGUUCAAAACGCAAUGAUAAGGUAGUAAGGCUCAGGCAACAAUUGAUAGAUUUGCUCCGAGCAUGGGCUAGUGGCAUGCCUCCUCCUCCGCUCCCUGAAGGUCUUGGGAGUAUCUCUAAUUGCCCACCGCUCUCUCAGGCAUAAUUCUCUGCUCCCACUGAGUAACCUGAGCACGCGUCAAGAUUCACUCCACGACAUUAUUAUCCUAGCACUUCUAGUGUGCCCUUGGCAGCUCCCCAACCAAGACCUGCUGCUCAGCCGACGCCACUGAUCACACCGGUGUUCGUGGAUCCGCCACCACCUGAAGCUCCCAUAUAUGUUGUGCGUCCUACAAUGGGGCUUCCUCGGUCUACCAGUGAGCCAGUAUUGAAAGUUUCAGAUAGUCAGUAUUAUGCCCCGGAGCCUACUUUGAGAAUGAAUGAACCGUAUGGGUACACUCAGCCACCUGCAUUUCCAUUUGAUAUGGAGAAACCUAUCGCAACAGAGGAACAGGAAGUCAUAGCGCGGAAAUUGAAAAGUUUUGAAUAGGCCAUAAGGAAUUUGUAGGGAAUUGGAGGUUAUAAGAGUGUUUCCUAUAAAUAUAUUUGCAUGUUCCCAGACGUCAACCUUCCCCUCGGUUUUAAAAUGCCCAAGUUUGAGAAGUAUGCUGGGCACGGUGAUCCCGUGGCACACUUGAGAUGUUAUUGCAACCAAUUAAGGGCUGUAGAGGAAAGAGAAGAGUUGCUCAUGGCUUUCUUUGGCGAGAGUUUCUCUGAUCUGGCUUUAGAAUGAUUUUUCGAUCAAGAUAUCGACAAGUGGAACAGCUGGGAUGACUUAGCUUCUGAGUUUGUGCAACAUUUUUAGUAUAACGUCGACCUGAUUCCGGACGAAAAAUCCUUGGGCAACAUGAAAAAGUAAAGCAGUGAAGGCUUUAGGGAAUACGCGAUAAGGUGGCGUGAACAGGCCGCCAGGGUAAAGCCUCCAAUAAAGGAGAGUAAGCUAGUAGAGGUCUUCAUUCAGGCACAUGAUGAGACCUAUUUUCAAUAUGUACUUCCGGUAAUGGAAAAGUCUUUUAUUGAAGUCCUCAAAAUGGGAGAGAUGAUAGAGGAAGGAAUCAAGACCAGCCGAAUAGUGAGUUUUGUUGUGUUGAAAGCCACCCCACAAGCGAUUCAAGGUGGAUCUAGCGCGUUCGAAGGUAAAAAGAAGAAAGAGGAUGUGGCGACUGUCGUAGCUGGAACCCAUUCCUAUCCCAAAAGGCCGCCUCGCCCCUAUCCCCAAUCCCAGCCCAAGUCUACACCCAAGCUCCAUAUAUUCCUUCCCACCAUUACUACCCUCCACAAAACCCAUUAUACUCCAUUCCACCACCCCCAUACCUAGUAUAUAACGUGCAGUCAUAUGCCCAAACCCCUUUUUACCUACAAUAGCGCGCGCAAGCUCCAAAAAAUUGCCCAUCAGCUCCACUAAAUUACCAAAUCCACUCCAGACCCAGUUUCCAACCCAGGCCCGAGUACAAGAAAGAGAAGGCGGUCAAAAAUCAGUUCACACCUCUUAGGGAGUCAUAUGCUAGCUUAUUUUAUAAGGCUUAUAAAUCCACCUUCGAGGAAUCUCGAUUAUUCUUUAAGAUGUGCGUACUGUUCUGACAUGCCAGGCCACGAUAUCGAGAAAUGUUGGCAUCUAAAGAGAGUUGUCUAAGAUUUAAUUAACAUAAAUCAAAUGCUGGUCCAGGCCCCGGAGGGUCCAAAUAUUAAUCAGAAUCUGCUGCCAACCCAUGCUGAAACUAAUAUGUUAGAAUUAAUAUAUGAUGAGAAUGAGUCGUCAAGGUGUUAUAAGCCUAUUGUCAAGAUACAGACCAAUGAGGAGAAAUCUGUGAAUGUAGCAGUGUCUUUGAAAGCAAUGUCAUUGAGCCAAGAAGGAAUGAGAGAAAAUAAAGCCUAAGAAAGCACAAAGAAACCCCUGAUCACAGUACAAGGUGCCAGAAGGUAUGUUGAUUUAAGUCAGGAUAAACCUAAGUUGACGAUGGUAGGAGCUCCGAGUAAGCCCAUCUUGACAGUGAAAGGAGCACUGGCAGUGCCUAUUGUCCUCAAAACGGUGACCCAACCUCCGAUAGUUGAUACGAAAAGGGUUCCCUGGAACUAUGGGCGGACUGUGAUGACCUAUCAGGGGAAGGAAGUAGUGAAAGGUGCAGAUGAGGUAGGAGGUUUGACUCGGUCAGGAAGAUGUUUCGUGCCUGCAAGUUUAAGGAAGUCCAAGCCAAUUGUGAGUGGACCUUCAUCUAUCAAAAAGCCUGUCACUGAAGAAGAAGCCAAAGAAUUUCUAAAAAAGAUGAAAGUUGCCAGAGUAUUCAAUAAUAAAUCAGUUGAAGAAAACCCCUGCUCAAAUUUCCCUCUUAUCUUUGUUGUUGCAUUCCAAGGAACAUCAUGAUAUUAUAUUGAAGGUAUUAAAUGAAGCAUAUGUUCCUAGGGAGAUUACAGUAAAUCAGCUUAAUAAAAUGGUUGGAAAAAUCUUUGAGGUCAAUCGGAUCAGCUUUUCUGACGAUGAAUUGCCUGUUGAAGGUACGGGGCAUAAUUGGGGCCUUUACAUUAUAGUAAAGUGCGAAGAUUCUACGUCACUCAUGUCAUGAUUGAUGAAGGUUCAGGAGAAAAUAUCUGCCCUAUUUUUACUUUGCAAAAGUUGAAUAUUGGUGUUGAAAGGAUCAGGCCCAACAACGUAUUUAUCAGGGCUUUCGAUGGUGCAAAAUCAAAUUCCAUUGGAAAAAUAGAAUUAAUGCUAAUUAUUGGGCCUGUUGAAUUCGCCAUAGAGUUUCAAGUAUUGAAUAUCAAAUCCUCUUACAAUCUAUUGUUGGAAAAACCGUGGAUCUACAAGUCCAAGGCGGUUGCAUCUACACUGCACCAGAUGAUUAAGUUCGAGCAUGACAGGCAAGAAGUGGUUAUUCACGGUGAAGGAGAUUUGUCCGCCUGUGAAGAUUCUCCCUUGUCUCUUAUUGAAGUAAACAGUGUAGCGGAGAUAUUUGUCUAUCAAAUUUUUGAUACCGUGCCAGUGGCAGGUUACACCGGGACCAUAAUUGUCUUCCGCUUCUAUCAUGAUGGUGAGUGAACUUUUGAAAUACAAAUUCAAGCCAGGAUGGGGUUUGGGAGCGUCUCUGUACAGUAUAGUUCAUUCCAUAUGUCCGAGUGAGAAAAUGGGCACUUUUGGUCUGGGAUUUGAGCCUAUAACUGAAAAUCUAAAGAAAGCCAAGGGAAGGAAAAAGGAAACAUGGUCACUCCCUCGCCCAAUGCCACUACUUAGUGAAUCAUUUAUUAAGAGUGGUGUCACGAAGCAGGUCAAAUUUGAAGCUGAUUUGGUUGAUGACUUCCAGAAUCUUUUUUAUUGAAGUUGAUAUGGUUGAAGCAGGAGAAGGUACCAGUAAGGCAGGUGUGCAGUUCAUAGGCCCAGUUGUCUGUCUCAACAAUUGGGAAGUCACUCCUCUCCCCGUCAGGAAGGAGUUUUGGUAGUUUAUUUUGUUUUUCUUUUUGUUUAUCCAAGUUAUUCCAGGGUUGUAAUUCGAAAUUUAGCUUGUUUAUAUUUUGUUGUUAGUGUUUAAACCCUCCUAUCUUUCCCUUUUAAAUGAAAUGCAAUGUCCCUCUUAUUUUGUGUCUAAUACAUUUUAUUUUUGUCUUUUUCUUUAUACAGUUCUCUUUAUGCUGAUUCUAAUGACAUGACAUGCAUGUAGAAUUUUUAGCCUGAUCUUAAAAUCCAAGCUAAUCAAGAUAUAAUAAACCAAAGGGGGAUAUGAUGAAGAGGAGGCUCUAGAAGAAAUAAGCAAAGAGUUAGAACAGUUUGAAGACAAACCGAAUCCUAAUUUGAAUGAAACUGAGCCAAUCAAUCUAGGGAAUCAAGAAGAUGUUAGGAAAACUAAAAUCAGUGUACAUGCUUUGCCAAAGUUAAAAUAUGAAAUGAUUCAAGCAUUAAUUGAUUAUAAGGAUGUUUUUUCAUGGUCUUAUGAUGAUAUGCCUAGUUUAAGCACUGAAUUAGUGGCCCAUAAAUUGUCAACUGAUCUCGCAUUCCCUCCUGUCAAACAGAAGUUGAGGAAGUUUAAAACUGAUGUAAGUAUUAAAAUCAAAGAGGAAAUCAUAAAACAAAUUGAAGCCAAAGUAAUUCGAGUGGCUCGUUAUCCCACGUGUUUAUCCAAUGUUGUUCCUGUCCCAAAGAAAGAUGGCAAAAUUCGAGUAUGUGUUGAUUACCGUGAUUUGAUAGAGCAAGUCCAAAAGAUGAUUUUUUGCUGCCCAACAUCCAUAUUUGGCUGGACGACUGUAUUAAACAUGAGGUUGCCUCUUUUGUGAAUUGCUAUGCCGGAUACCACCAGAUCAUUAUGGAUUAUGAAGACGCGGAGAAGACGUCUUUUAUCAUACCAUGGGGGACCUAUUGUUAUCGAGUGGUGCCGUUCGAUUUGAAGAAUGCUAGAGCAACAUACAUGAGAGCCAUGACCACUAUGUUUCAUUAUAUGAUACAUAAGAAGAUUGAAGUCUACGUGGAUGAUGUGAUUAUUAAGUCAAAAAGUCAGGCUGACCAUGUUAAAGAUUUAAGGAAGUUCUUUGAAAGGCUUCGCAGGUAUAAUCUCAAGCUCAACCCGGCAAAAUAUGUAUUUGGAGUUCCAUCUGGAAAGCUAUUGGGGUUUGUAGUCAGCCAUCGAGGAAUUGAAUUGGAUCCCUCAAAAAUCAAAGUCAUUCAGGAUUUGCCCCCGCCUAAGAAUAGGAUGGAGGUGAUGAGUUUGCUUGGUAGACUGAACUAUAUCAGCAGGUUUAUUGCUCAACUUACAACCACUUGUGAGCCCAUAUUCAAGUUGUUAAAAAAGAGUGUUGUGGUAGAAUGGACUGAAGAAUGUCAGGAAGCGUUCGACAGAAUCAAAAGAUAUUUGUCAAAUCCGCCCUGCUGGUACCACCGGAGCCUGGUAGGCCUUUGAUCUUAUAUUUAUCAGUCAUGGACAAUUCUUUCUUUUGUGUCCUGGGUCAACAUGAUGUCACAGGCAAAAAGGAGCAGGCUAUUUAUUAUCUUAACAAGAAGUUCACCGCAUAUGAGGCUGGUAUACUCUUCUUGAAAGGACGUGUUGUGCCCUAACUUGGGUAGCGCAGAAGUUGAAGCAUUAUCUCUCGUCCUACACUACUUAUCUCAUCUCCCGCAUGGAUCCUUUGAAGUAUAUUUUUCAGAAGCCUAUGCCGACAGGUCAAUUGGCAAAGUGGAAAUAUUGCUUACCGAGUUCGACAUUGUAUAUGUGACUCGAACCGCCAUGAAAGCCCAAGCCAGAUCAUCUUGCUGAAAAUCCCAUUGAUGAAGAGUAUGAGUCGCUAAAGACAUACUUUCCUGAUGAAGAAGUGUUGUGUGUCGAUAAAGUCGUUAUAGAUAUUGAUCCAGAUUGAAAGUUUUUCUUCGAUGGAGCUGUCAACAUGAAAGGAGUCGGAAUAAGUGCAGUUCUUAUCUCUGAAGCGGGGGAACAUUUCCCGAUAAUAGAGCAACUUCGAUUUUAUUGUACAAAUAACAUGACGGAAUACGAAGCGUGCAUUGUUAGUUUGAGGUUAGCUGUUGAUAUAGGAGUCCAGGAACUAUUAGUGUUGGGGGAUUCAGAUUUGCCCGUCCAUCAAAUCCAAGGUGAUUGGGAGACGCGAGAUUUGAAGCUCAUACCGUAUCGACAAUGCUUGUAGGAGCUAUGUUAAUGGUUCGUGUUAGUAAAAUUUAGGCAUAUUCCAAGGAUUCAUAAUGAGAUUGUUGAUGCUUUAGACACUCUGUCUUCAAUGCUCCAACAUCCUGAUAAGGCCUACAUCAAUCUAGUGUAUACACAGAGUCAUGAUCAGCAUACAAACUGUAAUGAAGUUGAAGAAGAGCUUGAUGGAGAGCCUUGGUUCUUUGAUAUCAAGCGAUACAUUCAGUCAGGAGAAUACCCAACACACGCCACCUGUGAUCAAAAGAGGACUAUUAGGCGUUUGACUAGUGAAUUUUUCUUAAGUGGGGGAAUCUUAUAUAAGAGAACUCCGAAUCUGGGAUUUUUGAGGUGUGUAAAUACAAGAGAAGCCUCGGCGGUCAUGGUUGAAAUACACUCUGGAGUAUGCGGGCCGCAUAUGAACGGUUAUGUCUUGUCAAAGAAGAUACUUCAAACAGGUUAUUAUUGGCUUACUAUAGAUCGGGAUUCUGUUCGUUUUGUUCGGAAAUGUCAUCAAUGUCAGGUACACGGUGAUCUGAUACAUUCCCCUCCUGCUGAGUUGCACGCGAUGUCUGCUCCAUGACCAUUCGUAACUUAGGAGAUGGACGUGAUUGGGCUGAUUGAGCCGAAAGCGUCAAAUGGGCAUAGAUUCAUUUUGGUGGCCAUUGAUUACUUUACAAAGUGGGUAGAAGCAGUAACUUUCAAUUCAGUAACAAAGAAAGCAGUGGUAGAUUUUGUUCAUGCCAACAUCAUUUGUAGGUUUGGAAUUCCAAAUAUGAUCAUUACAGACAAUGCUGUCAAUCUAAAUAGUCAUUUGAUAUAAGAAGUGUGUCAACAGUUUAAGAUCGCACACUGAAAUUCCACUCUAUAUCGUCUAAAGGCUAAUGGCACAGUGGAAGCUGCCAAUAAAAAUAUCAAGAAGAUACUGUAAAAAAUGGUACAAGGGUCUAGACAAUGGCAUGAGAAGUUAUCAUUUGCAUUGCUAGGUUAUCGCACUACUGUUCGCACUCCAAUAGAGGUAACUCCAUAUUUAUUGGUGUAUGGAACAGAAGCAGUCAUUCCUGCAAAAGUUAAAAUUCCCUCUCUUCGAGUCAUUGUGGAAAUAGAGAUUGAUGAUGACGAGUGGGUCAAAACCCGACUGGAACAAUUGAGUUUGAUUGAGGAAAAAAGGCUAACGUCGGGAUGUCAUGGCCAAUUGUAUCAGAAGAGAAUGGCUCAAGCGUAUAACAAAAAGGUACGACCCAGACAUUUUGAAGUUGGUCAAUUGGUAUUGAAAUGUAUCCUUCCUCACCAGGUUGAAGCGAAAGGCAAGUUCUCCCCAAACUGGCAAGGUCCCUUCAUUGUAAAGAAAGUGUUGCCCAAUGGAGACUUACAUUUGAUAGAUACUGAAGGAAAAAUGGCAGAAAUGACUAUCAAUGUUGAUGCGGUCAAAAAAUAUUAUGUAUGAUAUUUUAUCCUUCGUUGAUUUUAUUGCAUGUUUAGUACUUGCAUUUUUUAAGAUUGAUAUGAUGAAGGCAUUUUAUUCUUCUAUCCAAACAUUGUGUCAUCAUUGGUUUACCCUUUGAGCUUAGUUUUAUUUUUCUUUCAUAUCCCUCUUUUGGAAUCAAAAUAAAGUCAAAGAUAAAUGUCAGAAAAAUAAGAAUAAAAGAAAGAGUUCGAAAAUAAAAGAAAAAAAGAGAGAGAAAAAUCAAAAUCAAAACAAAGAAUAAGCUGAUGGAACUAUGUGCGGCCUGAUUCUCCUCUCUUGGUAGUGAGAUACAUAGGCUGCCCUAUUCAGGGCUCGGUCCAACCAAAUAAACCAUCUAGAGUCACCCAGUCAACAAAAACUGGGGCAUGAGUUGAUGUGUCAUUUGAGUCGAUUCCAAAAGUUGUAAAUCUCAUCCCCACUUCAAGUAGCGUUUGAGCCUCCUGCCAUCCUUUUCUUUCUAACCUUAUCCAAAACCAAGUUACAACCAAAGAAAGACCUUCAGAUCAAUAUUUGAUAAUGUUAAGGCUAAGAUUGCAAUGGAUACUAUGAUGCAGUUUGGGAUACUACUUGUUUUCCUCAGCAUAAGAAAUCAGGAAAGAAAUAAAAAAAUAAGAGAGUCUUACUGGUGAAAACCCUUACGGGCACCAUAAGGAGGUGGGGAGUUGAGAGAAAUAAAAAUGAGAGAGUCUUAUUGGUGAAAACCCUCAUGGGCACCAUAAGGCGAUGGCGAGUUUGAGAGAAAGGUGAAAAGGAAAAAGGUUUUUUGGCGAAGAUCUUUCAAGAAGUCGACAAUUGAAUGAGAUAUAUGAGUCCAAUAGGUUUGAAGAAGCAAUAGUGGCAAAGGCACGAACUCAACAACAAAUGGAAAGUUUGGAUAGAAAGAUCAGGCAGCUUAAUCCAAAAUGCAUGUCAUAGUCAUUGGAGUUGGUUACCAUCUUCAGAUAAGUUUUCUUCUUUGUUUAAAAGAGGGAUAUUGCCCUUUCCUUUCAUUUAUACAUUUAUAUUUUGUCCUUUUAUGUCUUUUGUCAAAAGAAAAAUCACCAGCAUUUCUUUACAAUGUUUGAGUCUUUUCGAUGUCCAAACAAGCGUGAAAGAAUUUCAAAACUUGCUACCAGUUUUCCCAAUUGUAUGAGGAAAAGCCAAGGACCAGCAUAUGAAAGAAACAUGAUCCUAAAUCAAGACAAAGCAAAGAAAGUUCAUUAAUUGAAGGGUUCUUGGAUGCAUGAAAAUAUUCAUCUUUCAAAAGGUGCAUCUCAAGGGCAGGGUAAAAUAGAAAUUCGGUAUUUGAAUCAAGUUCACUUUCCUCAAUCUGGGUUUGGGUCAAUGAUGCGAAAAGACCAGAGCAAAUAUGGUGAUCUGAAACAAAGAUAAAAGGAAUGAGUGCUGGAGCAGAAGCUUGAGAAGCCAAGUGCUGCGAGCCACCACUAAGUUUUAACUGACAAAUUUUCUUUGUUAAAACAGGAGCAAAUUCUCUCCACUUAAUUCAGCUAUCAUGGGAAAUACACAUCCAAGGGACUUUACUUUCUGUUCAGGAUCCUCCUAAAAAAGGAAAAUUUAUUUUAUGUUUAUGAUCCUCCUGAAAAAUGAGAUUUUACUUCCCGUUCAAGACCCUCCUGAAAAAUGAAAUUUUACUUUCUGUUCAGGACCUUCCUGAAAAAUAGGAAUUUACUUUAUGUUUAAGACCCUCCUGAAAAAUGAGAUUUUACUUUCUGUUCAGGACCCUCUUGAAAAAUGGGGCGCCGCUUUCAAAAAUGAAAUACUGUCUUCUUAAUCUUUGUUGGGGAUAAUUUUGUUUCUAGUUUUCAUUUUGAUUUCAGGAGCUCGCCUGAAGAACAGGGUGAUGAAACGGGAAAUUGAAGAAACUACAAGUCAGGAACCCGCCUGAAGAACAGGGUAAUAAAAUUAAAGGAUAAAAAUGGCAAGUCAGAAGCCCGACUGAAGAGCAGGGCGAAUAAAUAAAAGUCGAGCAACGAAGUGAAGCAAUGGAAAACCAAAAUAAAUUGCAAAUCAGGAGCCCACCUGAAGAAUAGGAUGAUAAAACUCAAGUCCCGAGUCAAGGAAUGUUGCAUAGAUAAGAUUUUGUAAUUUCAUUUUCUAUUUUGACUUGUAAUUUUCAUUCUGAUGUAAUGACAAAGUCGCGAACCAAAACCUCGAUGGAACCUCACUCGACUCUCCAACUCGAUAUAGUCCAUUUCUUUCCAAUCCUUUGAGGUACCUGUCACCUGAUUCCCUCAUAACUUGGGUAGAUAGGAUAUCCGUCAAGACUCGAUUGCCCUUCUUUCCUUCUGUUUCUUUCUUUGAAUAAUGAUCGAAACAAAAUUCUGUCUCGUUAUCUACUUCUUUGUAUAAAAACACUAGGAGUUUACAUUCAAAGGGGGCUCGAUAUAGACACGUAAUUUUGUCCCGUCAAAAAUAUUUCUUAUUCCGAUAUCACACAAUUUAAGCCCAUUUUAUAAUUUUUCCCCAAGAAAAUAAAUAACCACCUCAUCUUUUACUUAUUUAUGUAUUUAUUUUUUUUGUUUUUGUUUUUAUCCAAAUAAAUCAUAACAAACUUUGUCUCAUUCUAAUAUUCCAACAACCCAACUAAUCAAAAAUAGACACAUACACCCCUCACCCGACCUACCUCCGUGAUCAUACCCCCUCCCUUUGUAUUUUUCUACACAGUUUGGCUUGGAGAGAAAGACAAAGGGAGCAUAAUAAGUGGGGACCACUAGGGUUUUGUUAUGGGCUAACAAUAGAUAUAUAUAUACAUACACUAGGCAAAAGGAAUUGGAGAAGGGAAAAAGGGGAAAAAAAACCAUUUGGUCAUCAUCUUCAUCUCUUUUUCUUGAUUGAAGGAGACAGGGGACUCCAUUUUUUUUCUUUUUUGUUCAUGAACACACAAGACACACACGUACACAAUAGAAUAGAGAGAUAAAGAGCGAUGAAGAUAGAGAAGGAGAAGAUCGAGAGGGAGAUUGAGAGGGAGAACGGAGGGUUCAAGCUUUUUCGGCGAACCCGUUGCCAGAAUUGCUUGAUUUAGUCGAUUCUAGGUAUUACAGAUCCAAAAAAUCCACUGAAGUGUUGAAAUUCCUCAAAAUCUUCUUCGUUUCCCAUUGGUUUUUAGUUGAAUCUGGCCUAAAAACAUUCGAAACGCGCCAGCGUCCGUCUUGAAUCACUAUUUUGGCCAUCACCGAAGCUCACCGGAGCUCGGUCUACGUUGGGUUUUGGGUUCCUGGUGGUUUGUUGGGGUCUUGGAUUCAUUUAUUUCUUGGUUCGUCGUCGAUAUUGGAUUUUGAGUUGUCGUUAUCAAAUUGCGUCGUCGUUCCUGGUUGGGUUUCGUAUAACAAAGUUUGUCUCACUGGUUUUGAAGCUGUCCUAUUAGUUUUUCUUUAUACCGAGUUGGAUUCAUCGCAAUCGAGGUUUUCUAUUCGAGAUUACAAGUGUGGGUCUUUUUUAAUAUUAUUACCAAUCGAAAUCAAUUAUCGAAAGGUCCAUUUCUUUAACUCAUUUUUCUCUUUUAUCGUAAUUUGUUGAAUUUAAAAUGUUUGAAAUUGGAUGAUUUGUUGAAUGUUUGAUGUUAUUCAUGUGAAAUUCAUAUGAUUCUCAUACUUUAAUUGUCGUUAUGUCUAUGUUGUUGAUAUAGGAUUCUGAAUUGAAAAUUGAGUUAAUCAUCGAGGCAUGUGUUAAUUUUGGUUGAAAAGAGAAUUUGGGGCACGAAUGGAGAAAUUGAUAAAAGUUGAAUGUAAAUUAAUUUUUGGUUUGUUGUCUUUUUGUUUAAUUCGAUAUAAGUAUGACUGUGAUAGAUUUAUGCCCUAUUGAAACAGAUAGACAAUAUAGGUUCGGGUAGGCAAAUUGUAGAACUUGUUGUGUUGGUUGAAUAUGGAAUGUGCGGAUGAACGCAUCUUUCUAGUUUAUCAUAUUUAAUUCAAAAUGUAUUCAUUUGGCCUGGGAAUGCCCCAAAGUAUUUGUAUAUAUAUUUAUUCACCGGGAAUGCCCCGACGUACUAUGUUGGCAAAGGUGGAUCGAGAACAAGGCCCGAGGCGUCAGGUAGUAUAGGAGUGUAGUUAGGAUUAGUAUAAGUUAGAGUAGACUUACGGUUUCGCACUUUUCAUUUUUCGGAACUGUAUAAUUGGACUGAAUACUAAAUUUUGGACUGUUUUGUUUUCUGAUUGUUUGUUCUAUAUGUUUUGUGUUGUUUAUACGCUCGUUGAUGUCAAAUUAGCCGAUACUCUCUGCCAAGCGACCGUGGUCAAACCACUGGAUCGAGGGGUGCCUAAUACCUUCCCCUCGGUCAACAGAAUUCCUUAGCCGGAAUCUCUGUUCGCAAACUAGUUUUAAAAGAGUCAAAAACAAAUUUGAAAAGGGUUUUCCAGAGGUGACUUGGCACACCGGAUCAUGCCAGGUGGCGACUCUGAAUAAAAAAUGUAAAUAGUCUUUUUUCGAAACAAAUUUUAUAAUUUUUUUCACUUUACUAAUAAAAACCUUUCAAAACCUAACAACUAAUAUUUUGGAGUGGUAAAAAAGGUGUGACACCUUUCAAAUAACGUAGCAGGUGAAGGGCAGCUUGCAUGCACAGAAGGUUUCUGGAGAAAUUGACUUAAAUGCUUGACAGCAAAAGACAAGUCAGGCCGAGUAUGAGUGAGAAAGUUGAGCUUCCCCACCAAACUUCGAUAAGAUUCAAGAUUAGGGAGUGGAGAACCCAUGUCCUCCUUCAACUUGACGGAUAAGUCCAGGGGGCAAGUAACAGGGGAAACCAUAUCACAACCAAAUCAGUAAGCAAGUAAGUGAUGAACUUCUUUUGAUGCAACAACAAACCAGCAUCAGAAGAAAAUACUUUAAUCCCCAAGAAAUAAGUAAGAACACCCAGAUCCUUGAUGCAAAACUGGGAGUCCAAAAAGGACUUCAAAGCAGAAAUCUCAUCCAAAUCAUCACUAGAAACAAUAAUAUCAUCAACAUAAACAGCAAGCAACACAAUGGAGGCGUUGGACCUCUUAAUAAACAAUUAAUGAUCGUUUGGAGAAUGAGAAUAACCUCGGGAGUAAAGAGUUUGUGAAAGUUUAGCAUAACAUUGGCGCGAUGCUUGGCGUAACCCAUAAAGGGAUUUCCAUAAGUGGCAAACCAAGGGGGAAAAACCAGUGGGACAGUCAACAAUUAAGCCAGGGGGAAGUCGCAUAUAGACCUCCCCCUCUAAAUCACCGUGUAAGAAGGCGUUAAUAUAGACCUCCCCCUCUAAAUCACCGUGUAAGAAGGCGUUAUUAACGUUGAAUUGAAAUAAAGGCCAACACUUCUUGACAGCCAUAGCAAUAAGACAUUUGACAGUAGAGAACUUGAUAACGGGGGAGAAUGUUUCAAUAAAAUCAACACCUUCGAUUUGAGUAUCACCCAUAACAACCAAUCGGGCCUUAUAACAUUCAACUGCAUCAGCCUUGUACUUAAUUUUAUAAACCCAUUUACAAUUAAUAGGUUUCUUGCCAACAGGUAAAGGAAUAAUAUACCAAGUGUUAUUGGCCUGGAGAGCCUCAAAUUCCUUGGUCAUGGCCAAAAAAAUCAGGAAUGCAGGGAGCUUGCUUGUAAGACUGUGGCUUUGAGGAUCCAAGAGAAGUGCAAGGACUAGAGCAAGUGAAAAGUAAACCGGAGCCACAUAGGAAGGAGGAAAGGUCACAAACAUAAUGCUGAAGAUGGGCAGGGGGCAUGAUGUCUAUUAUAUCUCCUUAAAGGUACAGAAACAGGCGUUUCAGAGGGUAGAACUAGAGAAGAAGAAGUUGGUUCAGAUGAUGACGGAAUAGAAACUUGUAGAGGAUCAUGGGGAGGAAAAGGAAUUGUAUACGAAGAAAAGAUAAAGGUCAUGGCUGAAGCAGCAAAAGGAAAGGAAAAUUCAUAAAAUAUCACAUCUCUAGAAAUAAAAGUAAGGUGAGUUUUGAGAUUAUAUAUUUUAUAUCCUUUUUUUGCUAAUGGAUACCUAAUAAAAACACAAGGAUCAGCUGUAGGUUGAAACUUAUCCCUAUGACACCUAGGUACAGCAGAGAAACAUAAACAACCAAAGGAUUUUAAGUGGGAAUAAGAAGGGAUGUGACCAUGCAAAAGUUCAUAGGGUUUUUUAUGGUUCAAAAGUUUGGAGGAAAACCUAUUAAUGAGAUAGGUAGCAGUUAGGACACAGUCACCCCAAAAUUUUAAAGGCAACUUAGAUUGAAACAAUAAAGCUCUUAAAGUUUCAAGUAGGUGUCUAUGCUUUCUUUCCACAACAUCAUUUUGUUGGUGUGUGUGAGGACAUGAGGUUUGAUGAAUAAUUCCAUUAUCAAUGAAAAACUGAGUAGCAGAAGUACUAGAGCCUAGAUCAAGAGCAUUAUCACUUCUGACAGUUUGGACGGAAGAGUGAAACUGAGUCAUAACCAUGGAUAUAAAGGCUUUGACUAAAGGAAAAGCAUUACUCUUGGACCCUAAGAGGUGAGUCCAAGUAUCUCUAGUAUGGUCAUCUACUAUAGUCAAAAAAUACUUGUAAUUAGAAUAAGUGGGAGUACUGUAAGGACCCCAUGUGUCUAUGUGGAUGAGUUGAAAAGGGUGAGUUGUCUUAAUUGAGCUAUCAGGAAAGGAAAGUCUGGACUGUCUAGCUAAAGGGCAAGCAUGACAAAAAAAAGGUUGUUUGGGAGAGAAUUUAUAAGGAAUGGAAGUAAUAUCCUUCAUCUUGACAAAAGGCAUGUGCCACAAAACUUUCACUUUAUUUAAUAAGGAUGAUGUAUUACAAUUAGAAUCAACAAAACUAUCAAAAGUACAAGCAUUAAAGGAAACAUCAGUAACAACAUUGUCAUUAGAAGUAGAAAAAUAAGGAGACACAUAAGGAAGAGUUGCAGCAGUAUUAUCAAGUGCAGAAUCAGUUGACUUAUGCACUGUAUUACUUGACACUGAGGGAGAAGACUUGAUGGAAGAAGACUGCAUAAGCUUGUAAAGGCCAUGCUCCAACUUACCAAUCACCACUUGCCUCUUUAGUAAAGGGGCUUGUAUAAUGCAAGAAAUUUUCGUAAAAAGCACAAUGCAAUUGAGCUGAGAAAUAAGCUUUGAAAUCGACACAAGAUUAUAUUAGAAACUGGGUAUAAAGAGGACAUGAUGUAGGGUGAAAUAAAGAAAAUGAAUGGAUCCAGUACAAGUCACUUUCACCUUAUAUCCAUUAGGAAGAGUGACUAGAUAAAGUGUGACUUAAGGUUGAAUAUUGAAUAACAGAUCUUUAUUGGAGGUCAUGUGGUCAGUGGCACCAGAAUCUAAAAUCCAAAUGCUCUUAUCUACUUGACUAAUCAUGCAAGUACUAGAGGAGAUAGUGUCUUCAGAAACAGAAACAGAAGGCAUACCAGCAAAACCAGUAGAAACCAUUAGGCUAGAGUGAUUUUCUGAAAGAUUGAACCCUUGCAGCAUACUGACAACUUGGCUGCGCUACUCCUUGGAUAAGCCAGCAAGGGAUAAAUCAUCCAAAAUAUGAGAAACUUGGUCUGAAGAAUGACCAUUAUCAGGAAUGGAAUUAUGAACAUCAGCAGAUGCAGCCACUCUUUUUUCUUUAUAAUUUGGAUUGGGAGACCUAAAAGGCCUAGAAUCACCAGGCUAACCAAAUCACCUAUGACAUUUCUCAAUCACAUGUCCAUUUCUUUUGCAAUACUUGUAAAACAGGUUGGACCUAUCUUGGUCAAAGUUGAUCCUUGGAUUAUAAGGUUUGUUUGGAGAGGUACUGGAAAACCUUUUAGGAGGGGCAUUGAAGGAGUUGGAGUUGUGAAAGGGAUAAACAUUUUGGGACUUAUUAAGAGAUACAGAUGUAUCAUGCCUUCUGUUUAAGGAGGCAUGAAAAGAAGCAGAAUCAUUGGGAAAUUAGAUAGGAACAACAACUUGUCUCUACCUUUCAUCCUGAAGUAGCAUAUUGUAGGCAUAGUCAAGGAAUGGGAAAGGUUGUACCAUGAGAAGGUUACUUCUAACUCUAACAUAGGCUUCAUUUAAACCCAUAAGGAAUUGAUAAACUUUAUUUUUCUCCUCCUCCUGUUGAAGACCAGCCUUAGCAGCACAAGUACAGGUAUUAAUAUGGUUUGUGGAAAUAAAAUGAAGUUCAUCCCAUAAACGUUUAAGUUUGUUAAAAUAGGACGCAAUAUCCAAAGAUCCCUGAUUAGUCAAGGCUAAUUCCUUCUUAAGUUCAAACAACUUAGUUCCACUAACCAUACCAUACCUCUUAUUCAACUGAAUCCAAAUACUCUCAACCGUUUCGGAAUAUUGUAAACUUUCAGCUAUGUCAUGGGAUAAAGAACUGGUCAACCAAGAUAUGACCAUGUUAUUACACCUAUCCCAAAGUCUAGCACGAGACGUGCCUUCAGCAGGUCGAGCAUAUGAACCGUCUAUAAACCCUAUUUUGUUUCUAGCAGUCAAGGAAACAAUCAUAUUCCUCCUCCAACCCCCAAAGCCAGUUCCCGAAAAAGGUACACCAACUAAUGAGAUUCCAGGAACAUCAGAUGAAGAAAUAUAUGAGGGAUCGGAGUAAUCAAUAGUCGCAGAAGUUGUUGUGGAAUUUACCAUGAUAAUAGGCAGCAAAAGAAACACACAGAUCGGAUAGUGAUAAGGGAAGGUUACCCUCCGUUUUGCAACCGAAAACAGUAACGGCCUUUGUGUAAAAACCGAAAAACAGCUACAACUUUAGCUAGACAGCUACUACCUCAGUUCUUCAGCAAAAAAAAUAAACCACCUACACUGUGAAGACAAUAUUUUUGCAAAAGGAGAAUCUGCUUAACUGCAAAAUACACAUCGAAAAUACAAUUCCGGCAAAAAAAAAAAGGAAAUCUCCGUUGAUCGGAACAACAAAUUCAGCACUAAAACUCGAAAGCGUACCAUCGGAGGAUGCCAAAUCAACUGAAGAUUAUGAACCUCACUUUGAUACCAUGUUAAACUAGUGAGAUCAUCAUGAAUCAGAAAAAUAUAGUGAACUCUACAGAGAAGGUUUGAGAGAGAAAUGAAGGAAACCUUUCGAUUCAGGAAAAUAUCUCAUAUUCUCUAGAAGGAUCGAUGGUCCUUCUUUAUACAUCAGUGGGC
rnacentral:lncRNA from 1 species